CCUACGGGAGGCAGCAGUGAGGAAUAUUGGUCAAUGGACGAGAGUCUGAACCAGCCAAGUAGCGUGAAGGAUGACUGCCCUAUGGGUUGUAAACUUCUUUUAUAUGGGAAUAAAAUGUUCCACGUGUGGGAUUUUGUAUGUACCAUAUGAAUAAGGAUCGGCUAACUCCGUGCCAGCAGCCGCGGUAAUACGGAGGAUCCGAGCGUUAUCCGGAUUUAUUGGGUUUAAAGGGAGCGUAGGUGGAUUGUUAAGUCAGUUGUGAAAGUUUGCGGCUCAACCGUAACAUUGCAGUUGAAACUGGCAGUCUUGAGUACAGUAGAGGUGGGCGGAAUUCGUGGUGUAGCGGUGAAAUGCUUAGAGAUCACGAAGAACUCCGAUUGCGAAGGCAGUUCACUGGACUGCAACUGACACUGAGGCUCGAAAGUGUGGGUAUCAAACAGGAUUAGAUACCCUUGUAGUC
rnacentral:rRNA from 1 species